rnacentral:tRNA from 1 species
GUCCCUGUAGCGCACUGGAUAGCACAAUCCAAAGGUCGUGGGUUCGAAUCUCAACAGGUACG